rnacentral:rRNA from 1 species
GUAGUUGGUGGGGUAACGGCCUACCAAGCCGACGAUGGGUAGCCGGUCUGAGAGGAUGAUCGGCCACACUGGGACUGGAACACGGCCCAGACUCCUACGGGAGGCAGCAGUGGGGAAUAUUGCGCAAUGGGCGAAAGCCUGACGCAGCGACGCCGCGUGAGGGAUGAAGGUCUUCGGAUCGUAAACCUCUGUCAGGAGGAAAGAAAGUGCCGGGUGCUAAUCAGCCCGGUAUUGACGGUACCUCCAAAGGAAGCACCGGCUAACUCCGUGCCAGCAGCCGCGGUAAUACGGAGGGUGCGAGCGUUAAUCGGAAUUACUGGGCGUAAAG